AGAUUGGUGAUUGGAAAGUUAUGG
rnacentral:siRNA from 1 species